rnacentral:tRNA from 1 species
GCGGAUAUAACUUAAGUGGUUAAAGUGUCAGACUGUGAAUCUGAAAAUACGGGUUCAAGUCCCGUUAUUCGCC